UGCGUAGGCGGCUUUCUAAGUUGGAUGUGAAAACUCUGGGCUCAACCCAGAGCCUGCAUCCAAAACUGGAGAGCUAGGGUUCUGGAGGGGAAAGCGGAAUUCCUGGUGUAGCGGUGAAAUGCGUAGAUAUCAGGAGGAACACCGGUGGCGAAGGCGGCUUUCUGGACAGAUACCGACGCUGAGGCACGAAAGCUAGGGAGGCAAACA
rnacentral:rRNA from 1 species